AAAAAAAUUACAUUAUCCCUCAUCAAUAUGUCUGCAGGUUGUUGAAGAAGUUCGAAGGAGCCUCAAUCAACCCGAAGAAGCAGAAGAAAGCGCAUACAUGAGGAAUUGUGAAAAGCAGCAGCUGAUUGACUAAUUGGACCCACUUAUUUACUAUGGCAUUUCAAAAGGAGUUAUGAAGCCACCAUGUGAACAGUGAUCUGGUAAUUAAAUCUUAUCAUUUUGUUUUUUGAUUAAUUAGAGUACCAACAUUGGAUUAAUUAGCACCGACAUUAGGUGUCCUUAACAGAAAAUAAUAGGAAUGAAAAUUGCAUUUUGGUUUAUACUGUACCAGUAACUAUUAAAUGAUAUGAAAAUCAAAAUUGCAUUUUUUAACUCUCAAA